UACGUAGGAGACGAGCGUUGUCCGGAAUUACUGGGCGUAAAGCGCGUGUAGGCGGAUGGGCAAGUCUGCUGUGAAAGCUCCUGGCUUAACCGGGAGUGGUCGGUGGAAACUGCCAAUCUGGAGGACGGUAGAGGUAGGUAGAAUUCCCGGUGUAGUGGUGAAAUGCGUAGAGAUCGGGAGGAAUACCUGUGGUGUAGACAGCUUACUGGACCAUUUCUGACGCUGAGACACGAAAGCGUGGGUAGCAAACAGG
rnacentral:rRNA from 1 species